rnacentral:rRNA from 1 species
CGGACGGGUGAGUAACGCGUGGGUAACCUGCCUCACACUGGGGGACAACAGUUAGAAAUGACUGCUAAUACCGCAUAAGACCACAGCACCGCAUGGUGCAGGGGUAAAAACUCCGGUGGUAUGAGAUGGACCCGCGUCUGAUUAGCUAGUUGGUAAGGUAACGGCUUACCAAGGCGACGAUCAGUAGCCGACCUGAGAGGGUGACCGGCCACAUUGGGACUGAGACACGGCCCAA